GACGAACGCUGGCGGCGUGCUUAACACAUGCAAGUCGAACGGAAAGGCCCUGCUUUUGUGGGGUGCUCGAGUGGCGAACGGGUGAGUAACACGUGAGUAACCUGCCCUUGACUUUGGGAUAACUUCAGGAAACUGGGGCUAAUACCGGAUAGGAGCUCCUGCUGCAUGGUGGGGGUUGGAAAGUUUCGGCGGUUGGGGAUGGACUCGCGGCUUAUCAGCUUGUUGGUGGGGUAGUGGCUUACCAAGGCUUUGACGGGUAGCCGGCCUGAGAGGGUGACCGGCGACAGUGGGACUGAGAGACGGCCCAGACUCCUACGGGAGGCAGCAGUGGGGAAUAUUGCACAAUGGGCGGAAGCCUGAUGCAGCAACGCCGCGUGCGGGAUGACGGCCUUCGGGUUGUAAACCGCUUUCGCCUGUGACGAAGCGUGAGUGACGGUAAUGGGUAAAGAAGCACCGGCUAACUACGUG
rnacentral:rRNA from 1 species